rnacentral:misc_RNA from 1 species
AGUAGCAUUUAAUCAAAGUGAAUAUAUGAAACUAAUAAAAAAAUUGCUACAUCUGCUAAUAGAAGUAAAUGGCAUAACUAAAUGCAUAUUUAUGUCUAGUAUACACAGUGUCCUGGUUAGGUUGCCACACCAUGGUUCUUUGCAUAGGAAAAAAAAAGCAUCACAUGCAAGCAUCUUAAGUUCUUAACAUUAAAAAAAAUCCAGCCACAUUAAG